rnacentral:lncRNA from 1 species
GUCGCUGGCGCCGUGGGCGUUGGCAGAGAGGGGUGACCAAAAAAAUUAUGAAAGAAGUAAGAAAAAAAAAUAAAGAUAAAAAAUUAUAGAAAAAGAAGGAUGAAGAUGAAAUUGCAUCGUUAACUGAAAAAAAAAUUAUAAGUUGUAUUACUUAAAAUAUAAACUGCAGCUUUAAGAUGAAAAUUACACUUUUUAAACAAAAAUUACACUUUUUAGGAGAUAUUUACACUGUUUCUCCUCUUAUUGCACUCUUUCAGAUGUAAAUUAUAUCCAUUAAGAUAAAAGUUACACUCUUUAAACGAAAAUUGCACGGUUUCUCCUCUUGUUGCACUAUUUCUCUUCUUGUUACACUAUUUUUUAUCUUAAACUGACCCUUUUAAGAGAUAUUUAUACCGUUUCUUCUCUUGUUGUACUGUUUCUUCUCUUGUUGUACUAUUUCUCCUUUUGUUACACUGUUUUUAUCUUAUACUGCACCCUUUAAGAGGAGAAACAGUGUAAUAAGAAGAGAAAUAGUGUAAAAAGAAAAAGACAGUGCAACAAGAGUAGAAACAGUAUAAAUAUCUCUUAAAUGAGUGCAGUUUAAGAUAAAAAAUAGUGCAACAAGAGGAAAAAUAGUGCAACAAAAGGAGAAACAGUGUAAUUUUCGUUUAAAGAGUGUAAUUUUUAUCUUAGUGGGUGCAGUUUACAUCUGAAAGAGUGCAAUAAGAGAAGAAAUAGAGUAAAUAUCUCUUAAAGAGUGUAAUUUUCGUUUAAAGAGUAAGUUUUAUCUUAAAGCUGUAUUUUACAUCUUAAGUAGUGCAACUUAUAAUUUUUUUUUGCAAUUAACGAUACAAUUUCAUUUUCAUCCUUCUUUUUCUAUACUUUUUUAUCUUUAUUUUUUUUUCUUGCUUCUUUUAUAAUUUUUUUUUGUCAC